GGGGUGACUAGUGACAGAGUGAGGGAGUGGGUGACACAGUGACAGAGUUAGGGAGGGAGUGACUAGUGACAGAGAGAGGGAUGGGGUGACUAGUGACAGAGUGAGGGAGUGGGUGACACAGUGACAGAGUUAGAGAGGGCGUGACUAGUGACAGAGAGAGGGAUGGGGUCACCCCCUCCCUCACUCUGUCACUAGUCACUACCUUCCUCUGUCACCAGUCACUCCCUCACUCUGUCACUAGUCACCUAUUCCCUCCCUCACUUUGCCACUAGUCAUCUCUUCUCUCCCUCCCUCACUCUGCCACUAGUCACCCAUUCCCUAACUCUGUCACUAGUCACCCCC